rnacentral:lncRNA from 1 species
AGAUUGAGAUAAUUUUAAGGUAAAUUGACGUAAGCAUCACUGAAUUCGAACGUCAGUUAAUUAUUCUAUCAUUUGAGACCCAUAAGUUUGGAAAACGACUAUUUGAAGAAUCACGAAUAAUUAAGCCCAGAACUUUUGAAAAUCCCUACAUGCCUUGUAUUUACAAAAUCACUCAACCACUGAAUGGCAGUAUUAUAGAUUAACAAAAUAAAUAAAUGGUUUGAACAAAUGAACUUCUAUCAAUUUAAACAUUUGUAAUUUACAUGAACAGUCACCUAAGCAAAUACACUGUCAAUUAUGGAAUACAUCAUCUUAUGCUUAAAAUUACAACAUCCAUCCUCCAUUAAAGAAUACAUGUUUGGUUAACCUUCACUAUGAUCACAACUCUAACUGAUGCUUAAUGAAUAACAAACCCAAACAACAAAGAGCCGGCAGAGAUGAAACUUCACUCAAGCCUUAAAUGGCAAAUCAAACCAACCUGUGACCAGAUCCACCAUUAUUGACCUUCAAAUCCAGGAUUAGACUUUAAUUUAUUAGAAUACAAAAGCAAGUUCAGAUUUCAGUAGUUAACACUCAAAUAUAGGCAGCAUGUAUUUGAUAAUGAGAUAUGUAGGUUGAGAUCCAACUAAAUAUGUGAAAUCAGCUACAAUUCUAGUCACGAAAUUGCAAUGGAGACCAUUUGUCCUUAACAUGCAAAUCCAUAAUAGGUUUUAAGUCUUAAACACAUCAAAAAUAACAUCCAUUCAUGUUCAAAAUAGAACAAACAACCAGUUUAUAUAAUCACAACAAAUAACUUUAAAGAAUAACCAACAUUUCAUUGCAAAUCAAAACAGAUGUACAUGUGUGAGAUGUGUACCUAAACUCGUAAACAAGCUGAACUUUUGCCAAAUAAAGGCUAAGAAAACCAACACGAGAUGAAUUCAGCAAGAACAAUAGCAGGAAACAGAAGAACAACCUCAAGUCUUAGCUAAACAGCAGGGUGACAACAACAGAUUUUUCAACAACUCUAUGCAAUUUUGAAGAAAACAGAAGUUGAAUAGCAAAUCAAAACAGAGAAAACAGCUUGUGAAAACCUUGAUGGAAUUUUCAGAGUGUUAUCUUUUAGAAAUCAGUGUAAAAAAUGAAGAAAAAGAGUCUGAAUCAGAGAGUAAAUGUCCAAAAUGAAUAUGCAGGGGUGCUUUAUAUAGGGAAUAUGUAUGCCCUAUGAGAGAAUGAGAGAGGGUGUGAGAGUAUUCUGCCAGCUCCCUAAAAAUCAGGAAUUGUCAUCUUUUUCAACUAAAUUGGACAGCUGUCCUUUUCAGAUAUUUUUUCUUAUUUUCAGCAUCUUUUCUUAACCAAUUUGGACAACUGUCCAUCAUCUAUUCUUUUCCUAUUUUUCUCAGCCCCUUAACUUCUGAAAUUAACCCCUUUUGACCUUUAAUUUACUGCAUUUUAACCCCUUCCCAAACUCUUCUAGAACUUUCCAUCAGCUAAAAGAAAGAUUCCCUAAUUUUCUAUCACAUUCACCCCACUAAAGUUCCAAUUAAUACCAACUAGUGCCUUUACCUCAACCUACUGUCCUCUUUUAUCCCACAUAAUCAAUAUUUACUAAACAAAAACUAAUUAAUCUAAAUUGAAAUUAAGCUAUCAAGUACAAAUUAAUCACAAUCAGCAAACUAGUUGACCUAUCAAUUAAGCACAUGCGUAAUUAAAACCAUAACCUAAUUAAUCGAUUGAACUUCAAGUAGAACUAAAUCAAAUAAUUAUUCAGAAAGUUAAAACAUUUUCAAUUAUUAACCUAAGUAUGUUGACAUUCAAACAGGUGAUUACUAACAAAAUGCAAGCCUACGAUUAUUUAGCUAAUUUAUGAGCGAAACUGAUUCAAUUAAACUAGGUCAAACAAACCACACAAUUAAAAAAAAAUCUUCUGCUUUCAAGAAACAAAAUCAACAAAAGAAUAAGAUAAAAAGGGUGAGAGAGUACCUAUGGAAGGAAAGACGAUUCAAUUGAAGCGAUUUCAACGAGGUUCGACCGGAUUCUGAUGGUUCCGAAAUGAGAUAAAACUUACAUUAAUCAAUUGCUCUUGACUAGAGCAAUUGAUCAAUGUCAGUUUCAAGUCAAAAGAGUUGAGAAUCAAUGAAGAAAUCCAAAGGGAAUGAAGCUAGGUUUUCUGACCGUUUUUUAGAUCUAAAAUUUGUGAAGUUUGGGUGGUUUUUUGGGAAAAUUGAUGGGAUAUUAGGGAUUAGGAGGAUGUGAGGACUGUGGGGUGUGAAUUCGAGGGAGAUUGGGGUUGUUUGAAGUGGCGUCGCCGGCAAAGGGUCUUGGGACGGCUAGGGUUUGAGUGAGAGAGAUGAGAGGGAAUGAAAAUGGGGUCUCUAA